UACAGAGGGGGCAAGCGUUAUUCGGAAUUAUUGGCGUAAAGGGCGCGUAGGCGGCUUCGCAAGUGGAAGGUGAAAUCCCUCGGCUUAACCGAGGAACUGCCCCUCCAAACUGCGUUGCUUUGAGGCCGGGAGAGGUGAGUGGAAGUUCCCAAGUUGUAGCGGUGAAAUGACGUAGAUAUUGGAGGAACACCAGUGGCGAAGGCGACCAUCUGGACGGAUACUGACGCUGAGACGCGAAAAGCGUGGGUAGCAAACAGG
rnacentral:rRNA from 1 species